CCUAGACACUGACCAUGAUAG
rnacentral:misc_RNA from 1 species